CCCUUCCACCUUGUCUCUGUGGCAUCAGGGAUUUACUCAGUUUACAGUCUUGCGUCUGUGUCCUCCCCAUCACUUCUUCCCUAAUUGUAGGAGAGAGUCAGGGAGGCAGGGGGUUCUCAAAUAGGGAAGAGAUAUAUUCUUCCAGAGACAAUGAGCACACAUUAGGAUCUAGCCUUUCUUAGCGUUUAGCAGCUGAUUUUCUGCUGUGGUCAAAUUUUGGCUUUGUUUUUGCUUGUAGCCUUGUGAUCCUUCUGUUUUACGCUCUUGCAUGAUCUUCCCAUGUCUUGGUGACCAAGCUCUUUCUAGCCCGAAUCAGCAUGGAGAACAAGCAGAGGAUGGACUUCUGCAGCAUCUUCUGCAAGAUGUGAGGACUGCAAUAUUCCCAUUCACGCAUGAACCACAGCUGCUCUCCCUAGGUCCCCUGACCUCUGGAGAAGGCUACUAGCAUAGCACUGACCCAACUUCACCAAGACAUCAAACGACAAAAGAAGGAAACAAGACGUGGGUGUCAUUACUGCAAGUCCCAUUGAGCAUAAACCUGACCAUGAGGCUGUCCUGCUGAAACCUCUCAUAGCUCCCAUUGUCCGGGGAUGAAGGCAUUAUCCUGACCUACCAGCAGCUGCCUAAGUGGUAUCCAUGUUGAACCCAACAAUUCUCAAGAAGCCAUGAAGUCUCGCUUGAUGAUGCAUAAGAGUAGACAAAGGAGAAGGUGCCCAGAAUUCACACUGUAAUAGGCAUGGCCUAUGCCAAAGCUUUCAGUGUUUCCCCCUAGGCCCUGAUUGGCAUCUCUUUCCAUUCUAAAAAAUAACACACUUACAAAGAUGUACUUAACAUUGACACAGGGAACCCAGAGAUACCGAUUACAACAUGUUCAAUGGGCAGUUGGAUCUGCAUUUUAUUAGUCAAAAUAAUCUAUAUAAGAUUCCUUUUUGUGUCUAUCUUAAAGGGUAAUGAGGACUUCCAGUUUCAGCUCCAACAAGAAAAGAGCUUGGAAGUCAACGUUUUUGUCCCAACAAGAACAGAAAGUUGGACAAACUGAAAAGAAAGGACUUUUCUUUGACCCAUUGAUGAGGUGGCAGGGCAAAGCCACGCUGAGACCUGGAAAGACAGGGGUAUCUGGACAGACAUGGCAACAAAAAUUUGCUUGCCUGGAGCUGAAGCCAUAGGAGGCAUAAACUGGCAGGAUCAUUAGAUGACUGCUUUGGUGAUUUGCUGGAGGUUGAAAGUGGACUGGUGUGAGAAUGAGCAACUCCAGGGGCUGAAGUCUUAGGAAGAACCCCACAGCUCUGUGAGUUUCCAGAAACCCCAACAAGUUCUCAUGGUGAGAUUUCCUCAUGGCUCUUACCAGGACUAAUCAUUAUGACAUACACCUAGAGCCUUCUCCAGUUCGAAGAGUUUCUCUCCAGGGAAAAGGAUGUAUCCAGAGCACCAUUCUGAAGCUUGAUCCCAGGCAGAGAAAGGGUCUGCCACUUCAGGCCCCUCCAGCCUUCCUAUGGUACCUAAAAAAGGGUAGAGGUUGGAACACUGUCAGCCAGGAUCUGGGAUCUGGGCUUCAAGGAAAUGGUUUGGGAAUACUGAAGCCAGGAAAGGGAGUAGGGGGUGGAGGGGAAAACUGUACCACUGUUUUAUUCAUUCUAGAAGUGGAGCAACACUUGCAAAGGUCACAACCCCGAGAAGCAAGGCCACCAAAAUACUGAGAUUUGAUCAGAUUAUAGAAUGGUCCCCUGCCACAACAUGUUACCAUCACACUUUAUCGUAACACUGGAUAACAACGGAAAAUGUUGCAUGUUGCAGACUCUCUGAGGUGGAGUCCAUAGGGAAGUCCAAAGUCAAGAGGUGAGAUCAAAACAAGCACACUAGAGGAACUGGAAGCUUCUGUUAUUUACAGCUGCAGCAAACAUUAAACACAGCCCAACUCCUACUCAGAUUAACAUAAAUCCCCACAUUAAAGGCUGAUUUACCACAGUUUCUAUUGCCCCAUACAUAUCUGACUUUCAACAAAACAUCACAAGUCCCACUAAAAAGAAAGAUAAAACACAGUCUGAAGAGAUAAAACAAGUGUUAGAAAUAGAUUCAGAAAUGGCAAAGAUGUUGGUAUUAUCAGACAGGGAAUUUAAAAUAACUAUGAAGCAAGAGCUAUUUUUUGAAGCAGUUAAUACCACUUAAACCUUUGUUUCUCUAAAUUUAAAGAAAACUACUGCUAGAAUUGUUGUCUGUUGUGUAAAUUAAAAUAAUUAAAGCAAAAACAUUUGAAGAAAAGAUAAUUCAGAGAGCAUAAGACAUGAUACAAAGAACCCAGUGAAAGAGUGGCAUAUUACUUAAUAAACUGACUGAAACAAAAACAAAAUGGCAAUUAAA
rnacentral:lncRNA from 1 species